ensembl:lncRNA
CACACGUGUGCGUGUGCACACACACACGCACGCAUUCACAGGUGUGGGCUUAGAAAAUUGAGAUAAAUGAAAUAAGCUAAGUUCUAACAUGUGAUUUUGUUCUCAUAGAGAGCCUGACUCUAUGUCUGAGUUCUGGGUCUCUCCUCUGUGCUUCCGUCACCCCCUGGACUCCUGGCAUGGCACUUCUCACGCUGGGGAAGAGAAGCUGGAGGACUGCCCUAGUAAUGGCCCAGGGAUUUAUUCCAUGGAACAUAUUGACUGUGUUUGAGAAGGUUUUCCCGACUCAACUGGAUCUAGAUUAGCUGGUGUCUCUGCGUUCCGCAGCAGGCAGUGGCAUCUGCAACACAGGACUCAUCUAUUUUGCCUCCUCUACUAGACUUUGAGCUUCUUAUGUCAGAGAUACUCGUCUUCCUCAUCUUUGUUUUCCCACUGGCUGGAGCAGGGACACAAAGUUGGCUUUCAAGAAAUGCUUUCAUCUUCACGAUUAUUCUGAGACAUAUUACCCUCCCUAAAAAGGAGUGACACCAGAGGAGGUGGGGCUUAAGGAGCUCUGGGGAUCUGCAGUGUCAUCUUCAAUCAGUCCAAUGCUGAUUCUGUGCCCUAUUUUGGAUAUUGUUUUUGAGAUCCAACUGCCCCUCUUGAACCCUAUCUGCAUCUACAUCUUGUUUCCUAUUCAUUAGGCCAAUCACAGUAGAAUACAGACCUUGUCUCCUCCAUAAUUCCCAUUUCCAGAAACCAGAUGCUGUCUCUGAAUCCCAGCCUGGGGAGUGGAGCCAGUGGGCCUCUACGGUGGGUGUUGGAUGUGGCCGUCCUGGGAGGACAUUACCACCUGUCCCUGGAGGAGAGGCACUGGGUGCUCCCUUGGCCUUCAACCUGAGAUCUCCUUUGCCUCUAACUGUCUCUGAGACUUCCAGCACCUGCCUGUUAUCGUCUCCUUGGAUGCUGUGUUUGGUCUGAUAGACGGG